AGUGAACGCUGGCGGUAGGCCUAACACAUGCAAGUCGAACGGCAGCACAGUAAGAGCUUGCUCUUACGGGUGGCGAGUGGCGGACGGGUGAGGAAUACAUCGGAAUCUACUUUUUCGUGGGGGAUAACGUAGGGAAACUUACGCUAAUACCGCAUACGACCUACGGGUGAAAGCAGGGGAUCUUCGGACCUUGCGCGAUUGAAUGAGCCGAUGUCGGAUUAGCUAGUUGGCGGGGUAAAGGCCCACCAAGGCGACGAUCCGGAGCUGGUCUGAGAGGAUGAUCAGCCACACUGGAACUGAGAAACGGUCCAGACUCCUACGGGAGGCAGCAGUGGGGAAUCUUGGACAAUGGGCGCAAGCCUGAUCCAGCCAUACCGCGUGGGUGAAGAAGGACUUCGGGUUCUUAAGCCCUUUUGUUGGGAAAGAAAAGCAGCAGGUUAAUACCCCGCUGUUCUGACGGUACCCAAAGAAUAAGCACCGGCUAACUUCGUG
rnacentral:rRNA from 1 species